CCAACAGAUAAUGCUGUGCACUCUAAACAGACUGCCGUGGAUAACACGGAGGAAGGUGGGGAUGACGUCAAAUCAUCAUGCCCCUUAUGAGUCUGGGCUACACACGUGCUACAAUGGUCGGUACAACGGGCAGCGAAAGAGUAAUCUGGAAGCGAAAUCCUAAAAAGCCGAUCCCAGUUCGGAUUGUGGGCUGAAACUCGCCCACAUGAAGUUGGAGUUGCUAGUAAUCGCGAAUCAGAAUGUCGCGGUGAAUGCGUUCCCGGGUCUU
rnacentral:rRNA from 1 species